GCGUAUGCAACCUGCCUCCCCCUGGGGGAUCCCCCAACGAAAGGUGGAUUAAUACCGCAUGAUAUAAGGACACGGCAUCGUGACUUUAUUAAAGCUUUUAUUAGCGGGCGGAGAUGGGCAUGCGUGCCAUUAGCUAGUUGGGGGGGUAGAGGCCCACCAAGGCGACGAUGGCUAGGGGCUCUGAGAGGAUGGUCCCCCACACUGGUACUGAGACACGGACCAGACUCCUACGGGAGGCAGCAGUAGGGAAUAUUGGGCAAUGGCCGAGAGGCUGACUCAGCCAUGCCGCGUGCAGGAAGAAGGCCUUCUGGGUUGUAAACUGCUUUUAUCAGGGAAGAAAACGCUCCUGCGGGAGUAACUGACGGUACCUGAUGAAUAACCACCGGCUAACUCCGUGCCAGCAGCCGCGGUAAUACGGAGGGUGCAAGCGUUGUCCGGAUUUAUUGGGUUUAAAGGGUGCGUAGGCGGCCGAUUAAGUCAGCGGUGAAAUCCCGGGGCUCAACCCCGGAACUGCCGUUGAUACUGGUUGGGUUGAGUUCGGUCGAGGCGGGCGGAACUGGCGGUGUAUCGGUGAAAUGCA
rnacentral:rRNA from 1 species